rnacentral:lncRNA from 1 species
AGGUAGAAUCAGAAAAAAAGCCAGAAGAUCGUUGUCAUCCCAUUUAGUCUUUGAAAUACGUCCCACCACUGCUGCAUUUGUACAGGGAAAACACUGAGACUACAUAGUCUGAAUCAUCCAACCCUUCUUUACAGCGGUAGUGCCCCAAUUUUCUAUGGAAAAAUUGUUUUCUAUGGAAAACAAAAGAAUUAAGUGACUCAAACUACAAUUCCCACAGUUGCUCAGAGGGACUGGGUGAGAGUGAUGGGUUUUCUGCCUCUGGGGUGUCCAUGCUGAGGCUAGAUGCCAACUUGUUUGUGACAUCAACGAUAUUAUGGAGGGUUUAUGGUGGGUUGAGUGUUGGAGGAGAACAGUGGUUUCCAGACCAUCCAACAUCCCCCAAACUGCUGUUGUAGACAACCUUUCAAAGAGCUGCUUGGGGGUGUGUAGGAUAAUGAAUAGAGGAUUGGGCAAGCUGCUGGAUCAGAAGAUAAAAGAAGUCUCCUUUACAGAUGGCCCAUCCUCAGCAUUGGCUUGAAGACACAUAGAUCUUAUCCAAAAUGUCUGUCUGAGGAACUACUGAAUUUCCUUUUACUUUAACAACUGGAUGAAUGCAACUCAGUUCAACUGUCAUUUCCCUCUAGUGAUUAUUCAUUACAGAUGACUGAUAAAUAGUUCAAAAAGUCAUGCUUACACAAUGUUGAAUACCAACUUUAAAAUGUAUUACUUCAACAAUUUCAAAUAAACUUCCAAGCAAGAAGAACUGAUUUCA